GAUUAAGUUAUUAAGGGCGCACGGUGGAUGCCUUGGCACUAGAAGCCGAUGAAGGACGUUACUAACGACGAUAUGCUUUGGGGAGCUGUAAGUAAGCGUUGAUCCAGAGAUUUCCGAAUGGGGAAACCCAGCAUGAGUUAUGUCAUGUUAUCGAUAUGUGAAUACAUAGCAUAUCAGAAGGCAGACCCGGAGAACUGAAACAUCUUAGUACCCGGAGGAAGAGAAAGAAAAAUCGAUUCCCUGAGUAGCGGCGAGCGAAACGGGAAGAGCCCAAACCAACAAGCUUGCUUGUUGGGGUUGUAGGACACUCUAUACGGAGUUACAAAAGUAUAUAUUAGACGAAUCAUCUGGAAAGUUGAAUCAAAGAAGGUAAUAAUCCUGUAGUCGAAAAUAUAUACUCUCUUGAGUGGAUCCUGAGUACGACGGAGCACGUGAAAUUCCGUCGGAAUCUGGGAGGACCAUCUCCUAAGGCUAAAUACUCUCUAGUGACCGAUAGUGAACCAGUACCGUGAGGGAAAGGUGAAAAGUACCCCGGAAGGGGAGUGAAAGAGAACUUGAAACCGUGUGCUUACAAGUAGUCAGAGCCCGUUAAUGGGUGAUGGCGUGCCUUUUGUAGAAUGAACCGGCGAGUUACGAUUUGAUGCAAGGUUAAGCAGCUAAUGUGGAGCCGUAGCGAAAGCGAGUCUGAAUAGGGCGUUUAGUAUUUGGUCGUAGACCCGAAACCAGGUGAUCUACCCUUGGUCAGGUUGAAGUUCAGGUAACACUGAAUGGAGGACCGAACCGACUUACGUUGAAAAGUGAGCGGAUGAACUGAGGGUAGCGGAGAAAUUCCAAUCGAACUUGGAGAUAGCUGGUUCUCUCCGAAAUAGCUUUAGGGCUAGCCUCAAGUGAUGAUUAUUGGAGGUAGAGCACUGUUUGGACGAGGGGCCCUUCUCGGGUUACCGAAUUCAGACAAACUCCGAAUGCCAAUCAAUUUAACUUGGGAGUCAGAACAUGGGUGAUAAGGUCCGUGUUCGAAAGGGAAACAGCCCAGACCACCAGCUAAGGUCCCAAAAUAUAUGUUAAGUGGAAAAGGAUGUGGCGUUGCCCAGACAACUAGGAUGUUGGCUUAGAAGCAGCCAUCAUUUAAAGAGUGCGUAAUAGCUCACUAGUCGAGUGACACUGCGCCGAAAAUGUACCGGGGCUAAACAUAUUACCGAAGCUGUGGAUUGUCCGUAGGACAAUGGUAGGAGAGCGUUCUAAGGGCGUCGAAGCAUGAUCGCAAGGACAUGUGGAGCGCUUAGAAGUGAGAAUGCCGGUGUGAGUAGCGAAAGACGGGUGAGAAUCCCGUCCACCGAUUGACUAAGGUUUCCAGAGGAAGGCUCGUCCGCUCUGGGUUAGUCGGGUCCUAAGCUGAGGCCGACAGGCGUAGGCGAUGGAUAACAGGUUGAUAUUCCUGUACCACCUAGUAUCGUUUUAAUCGAUGGGGGGACGCAGUAGGAUAGGCGAAGCGUGCUAUUGGAUUGCACGUCCAAGCAGUAAGAUUGAGUGUUAGGCAAAUCCGGCACUCAUAAGGUCAAGCUGUGAUGGGGAGAGGAAAUUGUUUCCUCGAGUCGUUGAUUUCACACUGCCAAGAAAAGCCUCUAGAUAGAUAACAGGUGCCCGUACCGCAAACCGACACAGGUAGUCAAGAUGAGAAUUCUAAGGUGAGCGAGCGAACUCUCGUUAAGGAACUCGGCAAAAUGACCCCGUAACUUCGGGAGAAGGGGUGCUCUUUAGGGUUAACGCCCAGAAGAGCCGCAGUGAAUAGGCCCAAGCGACUGUUUAUCAAAAACACAGGUCUCUGCUAAACCGUAAGGUGAUGUAUAGGGGCUGACGCCUGCCCGGUGCUGGAAGGUUAAGAGGAGUAGUUAGCUUCUGCGAAGCUACGAAUCGAAGCCCCAGUAAACGGCGGCCGUAACUAUAACGGUCCUAAGGUAGCGAAAUUCCUUGUCGGGUAAGUUCCGACCCGCACGAAAGGCGUAACGAUUUGGGCACUGUCUCAACGAGAGACUCGGUGAAAUCAUAGUACCUGUGAAGAUGCAGGUUACCCGCGACAGGACGGAAAGACCCCGUGGAGCUUUACUGUAGCCUGAUAUUGAAAUUCGGCACAGCUUGUACAGGAUAGGUAGGAGCCUUUGAAACGUGAGCGCUAGCUUACGUGGAGGCAUUGGUGGGAUACUACCCUAGCUGUGUUGGCUUUCUAACCCGCACCACUUAUCGUGGUGGGAGACAGUGUCAGGUGGGCAGUUUGACUGGGGCGGUCGCCUCCUAAAAGGUAACGGAGGCGCUCAAAGGUUCCCUCAGAAUGGUUGGAAAUCAUUCAUAGAGUGUAAAGGCAUAAGGGAGCUUGACUGCGAGACUUACAAGUCGAGCAGGGUCGAAAGACGGACUUAGUGAUCCGGUGGUUCCGCAUGGAAGGGCCAUCGCUCAACGGAUAAAAGCUACCCCGGGGAUAACAGGCUUAUCUCCCCCAAGAGUUCACAUCGACGGGGAGGUUUGGCACCUCGAUGUCGGCUCAUCGCAUCCUGGGGCUGUAGUCGGUCCCAAGGGUUGGGCUGUUCGCCCAUUAAAGCGGUACGCGAGCUGGGUUCAGAACGUCGUGAGACAGUUCGGUCCCUAUCCGUCGUGGGCGUAGGAAAUUUGAGAGGAGCUGUCCUUAGUACGAGAGGACCGGGAUGGACAUACCUCUGGUGUACCAGUUGUCGUGCCAACGGCAUAGCUGGGUAGCUAUGUAUGGACGGGAUAAGUGCUGAAAGCAUCUAAGCAUGAAGCCCCCCUCAAGAUGAGAUUUCCCAACUUCGGUUAUAAGAUCCCUCAAAGAUGAUGAGGUUAAUAGGUUCGAGGUGGAAGCGUGGUGACACGUG
rnacentral:rRNA from 1 species